rnacentral:lncRNA from 1 species
AAACCUUGAAAAACUCUCCUCAAUGGUUACGACAUUAGGCUUCGGCCAAACUUCGGAGGAGAGGCGUGUUACAUCGGCAUGGACAUCACCAUUGCCUCAUUCGACUCCAUCUCAGAAGUAAAUAUGGACUACACCAUCACGAUGUACCUCAACCAGUACUGGAAGGACGAGCGCCUGGCC